AAAUUGAAGAGUUUGAUCAUGGCUCAGAUUGAACGCUGGCGGCAGGCCUAACACAUGCAAGUCGAACGGUAACAGAAAGCAGCUUGCUGCUUUGCUGACGAGUGGCGGACGGGUGAGUAAUGUCUGGGAAACUGCCUGAUGGAGGGGGAUAACUACUGGAAACGGUAGCUAAUACCGCAUAACGUCGCAAGACCAAAGAGGGGGACCUUCGGGCCUCUUGCCAUCGGAUGUGCCCAGAUGGGAUUAGCUAGUAGGUGGGGUAACGGCUCACCUAGGCGACGAUCCCUAGCUGGUCUGAGAGGAUGACCAGCCACACUGGAACUGAGACACGGUCCAGACUCCUACGGGAGGCAGCAGUGGGGAAUAUUGCACAAUGGGCGCAAGCCUGAUG
rnacentral:rRNA from 1 species